rnacentral:rRNA from 1 species
UACAGAGGGGACAAGCGUUGUUCGGAUUUACUGGGCGUAAAGGGCGCGUAGGCGGUCAGCACAAGUCAGUUGUGAAAUCUCCGGGCUUAACCCGGAAAGGUCAACUGAUACUGUGCGACUAGAGUGCGGAAGGGGCAACUGGAAUUCUCGGUGUAGCGGUGAAAUGCGUAGAUAUCGAGAGGAACACCUGCGGCGAAGGCGGGUUGCUGGGCCGACACUGACGCUGAUGCGCGAAAGCCAGGGGAGCGAACGGG